rnacentral:rRNA from 1 species
AUUGAACGCUAGCGGGAUGCUUUACACAUGCAAGUCGAACGAGUGGCGGACGGGUGAGUAAUAUAUCUAACCGAGCCCAGUAGCGGGGGGUAACUGCCCGAAAGAGUGACUAAUAACGCAUAUUAUGGGAGGGGCCGAGAUGGGAUUCGCUAGUUGGUGGGGUAAAGGAUCACCAAGGCAACGAUCCGUAGCUGGUUUGUGAGGACGACCAGCCACACGGGAACGGAGACAAGGCCCAGACUCCAACGGGAGGCAGCAGUGGGGAAUUGUGGACUAUUGAGGGAACCCUGGUCUAGCCAUCCCGCGUGUAGUAAAAGGCCUUCGGGUUGUAAACGACUUUUUGUAUAAAAGCGGUAUCUGCUGAAUAAGCACCGGCUAACUACGUGCCAGCAGCCGCGGUAAUAC